rnacentral:rRNA from 1 species
CAAAUGACUCUCAGCAACGGAUAUCUUGGCUCUUGCAACGAUGAAGAACGCAGCGAAAUGCGAUACCUAGUGUGAAUUGCAGGAUUCCGCGAAUCAUC